rnacentral:tRNA from 1 species
ACAUUGGUGGCUCAGUGGUAGAAUUCUCACCUUCCAUGUGGGAGAUCGGGGUUUGAUUUCUGGCCAAUGCA